rnacentral:tRNA from 2 species
GGUCGCUUAGCUCAGUUGGUUAGAGCGUGGUGCUAAUAUUGGCAGUCCUCAAAGGGGACUUGAUAGUUGACGCCAAGGUCGCGAGUUCGACCCUCGUAGUGACCA